rnacentral:tRNA from 1 species
UCAAGGGAAAAGGAAUCAAACCUUCAUCACCAACUCCCAAAGCUGGCAUUUUAAUUAAA